CUCUACGUGAGUAGCUACCAUUCAGGUUCCCUUCGUGGUGACCUCGGGUAUGAAGCGCUAUCAGCUUUCUCCAGCUUUCUCCAGCUUUCUCCAGCUUUCUCCAGCUUUCUCCAGCUUUCUCCAGCUUUCUCCAGCUUUCUCCAGCUUUCUCCAGCUUUCUCCAGAACAGAGGAAAGGACUCGACUGUUAACUGUGUUCGUACCCUUCGAACUGUUGGUGCCAUCCCUGCUCAGGCGGACGGCUACGAGGGACUUUCUAGGCCAGUGGAUCUCAACCAGGGCGGCGCGGAGCGAUCGGAAGUGAGGUGCAAGUAGUUUUAAAGAAAAACAAACAGGGCAUUAUUUGGGUACUCUGUGUAUUUUAUUGCCUUUCAAAUAUAUUAGGUAUUCGCCACAUGAUAGGGGAGGCUUGGGGGAGGGCCUUUACAAAAGGUUGAGAGCCUCUGUUCUAGGCUAUAUACUUGCUUGCUCGCUUAUUGUAUUUAUCUCUGCCAAUCUGUGAAAUAAAUAUUCCUGUUGAUCAUGUCUUCUCUGCGGUUUGUCAGCUGGCGUGUGUCACAGCUCGGUCCGAGCAGAACUCAAAUUCCCAAGAUGCAACACUCACUUCUCAUGCACGCAUGCGCUCACCAUCCCCGGAGUUCUGAUCAGACACACCUGGCACCAAUCACACACUCACCGCUAGUAUUUAGGGAAGUCAUUCACCCAGUUUAUACGCGAAGUGUACGCUCAGUAGCUCGUUUCUCUGCGUUACCAAGCCGGUCUAGUUUGUUUGUUUCUCGUGAUCCUCGACCCUUGUUUUCUGUCUCGACUACGCUUUCUGCCUAUCCCCGUUUGUAUUGUUCGCCCGAUCGCUUGACCCUUGUUUACCCUACGACUACGUUUCUGGAACUUCCCGAUUCUACGCUCUACCCCCGCCGCCCGCUCCUGCUUCCGUGCCGUUUCGAGGGAAGGAGUCUCCAGUGUCAGAAGUAAAGAGUUCAGGGAUUCAUUUGGGAACAGGUCAGCAGAGCUUUAGGAGGGAAUGAGGAGGAGAAGAGGCAUUCUGAUGGCAUUUUGGCAUAUGGAUUUUUUAGACAAACACAAUUAAUUAGCAAAAAAAAAAAAAAAAAAAGUAAGACUUUCUUAACCAUAAGUUUAUGCAGUGUUUUGGGGGCCCUUGGUAGCUUGGGGCACAAGACAAUAGCUGACCUUUACCUAAUAGUAAAGUGCUUGUUGCUGCAUCUGCUGCAUUCCUUUCUUGUCACUACACCCUGGUCUAAUUUACUCACGUUACAACCCGUUUAGGAGAGGGGAAAAGGGUGCAACAUGUGGGCCACCAGGCCUAAAACAGACUCCGGUAAUGUGGCGCUGGUUGCCACUGAUUAUAAGCUGGUCUAACAAUGUUUCUUGUCUCUCUGCCUCCCUCUAGUGAUGGAACCAGACCGAGCUGGCUGUCCCUUUAUAAUGCAAUAAAUUACUUACAAUGUUCUAACAUCUUUAGGCAACAGGUUACUCCUCCAGAACUCAACAAGAAUCAUGUGAGCUUUAACCAGUUUCAUAAAACCACUGGUGUGACUUACACAUUAUUAUUAUUAUUAUUAUUAUUAUUAUUAUUAUUAUUAUUAUUAUUAUUAUUAACAUUUUGUCAGGGCAAAAUUUGCUGUUUGAUUACACACCCUGCUGAAAAAAUAAAUAAAAUAAAAAUCACUAA